rnacentral:rRNA from 1 species
ACAUGUCUUUUAGUGUUUAAUUUAAAGUCGGGCCUGCCCACUGAAUUAUUGAAGGGCCGCGGUAUUUUGACCGUGCAAAGGUAGCAUAAUCAUUAGUCUUUUAAUUGAAGGCUGGAAUGAAUGGUUUGACGAAGUAUAAGCUGUCUCUGUAUAAGAAAUGGAAUUUACCUUUUGAGUCAAAAGGCUUAAAUGAAAGUAAGGGACGAGAAGACCCUAUAGAGCUUUAUAUAAUUGUAAGAUUUAUAGUUAUAGAUUGAUUUAUAUUUAUUUUUAAAUUAUAUUGUGUUGGGGUGACAUGAAGAUAGAGUUAACUCUUCAUUAGUAUUAACAUAAAUUUAUGAGUUGAUGAUCCAUUAGUAGUGAUUGAAAGAUAAAGUUACCUUAGGGAUAACAGCGUAAUUUCUUUUGAGAGUUCAUAUCGAAAAAGGAGAUUGCGACCUCGAUGUUGGAUUAAGAAAAKGGUUAAAUGCAGCAGUGKAAUC